rnacentral:rRNA from 1 species
AUUGAGCGCUGGCGGCAUGCCUUACACAUGCAGGUCGAACGGUAACGGGCCUUCGGGUGCCGACGAGUGGCGAACGGGUGAGUAAUACAUCGGAACGUGCCCGAUCGUGGGGGAUAACGAGGCGAAAGCUUUGCUAAUACCGCAUACGAUCUACGGAUGAAAGCAGGGGACCGCAAGGCCUUGCGCGGACGGAGCGGCCGAUGGCAGAUUAGGUAGUUGGUGGGAUAAAAGCUUACCAAGCCGACGAUCUGUAGCUGGUCUGAGAGGAUGAUCAGCCACACUGGGACUGAGACACGGCCCAGACUCCUACGGGAGGCAGCAGUGGGGAAUUUUGGACAAUGGGCGCAAGCCUGAUCCAGCCAUGCCGCGUGCAGGAUGAAGGCCUUCGGGUUGUAAACUGCUUUUGUACGGAACGAAAAGCCUUCUUUUAAUACAGGAGGGUCAUGACGGUACCGUAAGAAUAAGCACCGGCUAACUACGUG